UUAACAGCUGUUUUACCAAAAUAAUCCCUUCAUUAUCCAGUUUUGAUACAAAAAAGUGAUUUGUUUUUAAAUAAUAUGUCUUUGUUAUUCCAAAUGCAAUAACUGUGUGGUGAAAAAUUGUGUUAAUAAUGUCAAAUAUUAAGUCUGAUAAUGAUAACGAUCUUCUGUGACGUCAGCAGUAACGACGCGAACUUGAUCCCGUGACGCCAUCCAACUGCGACGGAAGAAGACUUGCUAAGCUAGUUUUUAACCGCUCGGACUGGUUUAAUUUCCCUUUAUUCUUUUACAUUUAUUUACACAUUAUGUUGUGUAUUUCUCUUCUAAACCCGAAUAUUGUGUUAAAUAUGGUCGCGGGAAUGAGGUCAUUUAAUCGUGAUAUGACUUUUAGCCCGUUUUGCUAACAGGAGUUUUGUUGUGUAGCGAAGAAAAAGGUGUUGUUUAGUUGUGUAGGGAAGGAAAAAGGUGUUGUGUUGUUGUGUAGGGAAGAAAAAGGUGUUGUGUUGUUGUGUAGGGAAG